rnacentral:lncRNA from 1 species
UCAGUUUAGAGGUUAUUCCUUAGCAAUCGGCCACUUAGUGUAAUCCGGUGGUUUUUAGUAAACAAAACGUAGACCGGUACCAAUCUGCAAUCCUAGCCACUAAUUUACUCUAGCCACUAGAGUAAAUUAUAAAAAACCACCACAUUAUAUAUAUAUAUGCUUGCAAGCAAAAGUAGAUAGUAGUUCAAAAAUAGACGGUUGGAUAAACAUUACUAGUAGUGCAAACAUAGUCCGAUCGACAAAAUUGGGCGGAUCGUCCUACCAACUAUUAGUUACAAGCUCCGAAGCUCGUCUGCAACACGAUUCAUAGUAGUUUCUCCGAAGACAGCAGCUGCCGGUCCAUGUGAGAAACCGCCGGAGUUCAUAUAACUUAACACUCCGUUGAUAGGUCCUUUUCGAAAAGAAAAAAAACUCGGUUCAUAGGUUAAAAUCAGGUGCUCAAACCCAAUAGGCCAA